GAACGUGAAAUCGUUGAAGUGGAACCGGAGAGAGUUGACGUAGUAUGGUGGAUAAGUAUUGCAAGAAUCGCUUCAAACAAUGAAUGUGAUCGAGUAAUAUGUACGUCACCAAAGACUGCGCUGACAGCAUCGACUACACGCUCUGAACUGUGUUGACAUGUUGCCUAUUCUAGUAUAUAGAAUGGUGUCUUGUGUUACGUGGUGAAGUUUGUUGUUAUGUUGUUGAUGUUGAUAAKUAUGAUUAUACACCAAGUAUAAUUAUGUCAGUGUAAAAGUCAACCACCUCUCCGACCCGUCUUGAAACACGGACCGAGGAGUGUAACUUGUACGCGAGUCAUUGGGUGGAAAAACCUUAAGGCGAAACGAAAGUGAAGGCACGGUUAACCGGCUGACAUGGGAAACGUGCGGUAUUGUUAGCGAGACGUUACACCAUGGCCCUGUCUUGUCUGCAUGCAGAUGGGCAGCGGUAGAGCGUACAGGUUGCGACCCGAAAGAUGGUGAACUAUGCCUGAGCAGGACGAAGUCAGAGGAAACUCUGGUGGAAGUCCGUAUCGGUUCUGACGUGCAAAUCGAUCGAUAGACUUGG
rnacentral:rRNA from 1 species